rnacentral:tRNA from 1 species
UAGGAGGUAUUUUAAAGAAAAAUAGGGAUUUUUGGUGUCCCAGAUGUUAGUUCAAAACUAAUCUUCCUAG